UGUUGUCAUGUUGCCUUACAUGUCUUAAUCAAAGAUCAUGUGUCUAAACUCAGCUCCAGGAUGAACACACCAGGAGAGAAGAAGCUGGGAGACAAGUUCAGAGGAAGCAACAGGAGCUGCAGAAGAAGACACAAGAGUUUGAGAGAAACCAGGCUGAAACCAUCAAACAGCUCCAGGUGCAGACACAGUUAAAGGACAGAGCUCAGAGUGAAGUGCAGACCCUGAAGAAUCAGCUGGAGACCAAGAAAACAGAGCAGGUUUCUGACCAAUACUCUGGGAUUGGCCGUGGAUCAGGGAGCAGCACGGAGCCUCCACAGAGUGCUGGGUCCUCAUACUCACGAUUUUACAGCUGAACUUAAUGUGUUGUCUUUUUCCAACACAUUGGACUUUAACCACACAAUGGGACCAACUGCAUGUCACCACCAUCUGCACUGCUGGAGAUUUCCAUCAUCACCUGACAUCACACACUGUAACAAGUAACAUCUAAUCCUGAUUAACACUGAGAAAUGAGCAUAAAGAAAGUUAUUGUCUGUAGCAGUGGUUCCUAACUGGUCCAACCACAGGGUUCAAAGUCCACACAGUUUAAUAUAUUCACUGUCAUUCUUGCGUUUGAACAUGUUGUGAAGCCAGCUGGCUGUCUCUGUCAGGUAGCUGUCCAUUGUUCACUCACUCUACAGCAGGAAAUGGCCCUCCAAAAUAAAAUCUCUGCACCAGAUGUUCACUUUAUUUCAAAACUGCUGGACCACGACCCACCAGUUGGGCACCACUGAUCUGAAAUGAUACAAGCUGAAAUGUAAAAUUUGACCAUAAAAAAACUGAUGUAUAUCAAAAUGUUAAACUUUGAAUGUGCAUAUCUCAUGCCCCGUAUGUGGUAGAGACAUGAAACUUUGCACAGAGAUGCCUCUCCUCAUGAGGAACACAUUUGCCUCAAGAACCCAUAACUUCCGCUUAUAU